rnacentral:lncRNA from 1 species
AUUUGAUUAGGAUUUGAUCUACAAUUUAAUUAGAAUUUAGGAUUUGAUUUAGGUUUGAAAAGAAUUUUAUUAAAAUUUGGUCCAAAAUUUGAUUGAAAUUUGAUUAGGAUUUGAUUAAGAUUAGGUCUAAGAUUUGGUUAGGAUUUAGAAAUUUUUUAAGGCUUGGUUAUGAUUGGUUUAGGACUUUAUUAGAAUUUAUUUAGAAUUUGAUUAAGAUUUGAAAUUUGAUUAGAAUUUGAUUAGAAUUAUUUAAUAUUUCAUUAAGGUUUGGUAUAGGAUUAGAAUUUAGAAUUUGAUUAGGAUUUAAUUUAGGAUUUCAUUAGGGUUUUAUUAGAAUUUGGUUUAAGAUUAGGAUUUAAGAUUUUAAU